UUUUCCUCUACGAUGUAGCGGGGUAUUCGUUACCUUAUGGUUUAUUGGCUAAACCAAAAGUCAACAUACAAUUCGAGUCACCACCGCAGUUUUAUUUGUCCAAAGGAAAGGCUAAAAAGCGAACAAAAUCCAAGUAAGAAGUUUUAUCCAAUCAAAAACUAAUAAAAAUGUUAGAGAUCCGGGUAAGGGGGUUGGUUAUGAAAUGGGAAGGUUUUACGCACCCAAAACAUCCUUAGUACUCUAAGGGAG
rnacentral:lncRNA from 1 species